UAGCUCCACGGUAACCUGAGAGAUGGCCUGGAGGCAGGGUGGCAUGUUGUUUUUAAAGUGAUACAAGAGACACAGUGGAGACCGUCCAAUGAGUGGCAUGGCUGCCAGGAUGCCAACUGGGACACUAAAGCCCUGGCAGUGGGGGCUGCCCAGCAGGGCUGGCCACUAGAAAUAAGGUUUUCUAAGCCAAAGACAACUGGAAUUUGCACAGUCUGCGUGAGGAAUGGGCUGCUUCUCUGACACCUGAAGUAAAAACCCACUACCAUCAGUGCAGACUUUUGACCUAUAGAAGUUGAGAUGAUGAUCUAAAAAUUUACCUCCAAGAUGGUUUCAUUUUCAGUCUUUUUAACUAUAGAACUGACUGAUGUAAUUUGUGACAUACUGCUUAUUUUUGGUGGAAGCUGGGAAGUCCAAGACAAGGUGCUGCUGAUUGAGUUCUUGGGAUGCAAAUUCAUCUUCUAUCAUAGCCAAAGAAGACCAACAAAGACCAACAGAGGCCAUGUCUCGCAUUCAGCUCCAACAGCAGGCAGUAGAUUUGUUACAGAGACUAAAACCCACCUUAUUGCCAAGUGACCCUCCUCUCACCAGCCUCCCCUGCUGCCACCCAAAUUCCUGCCACUGAACUACUCCUCAAAAUAAAACACAGCU
rnacentral:lncRNA from 10 species